rnacentral:rRNA from 1 species
UAUAAAUCAUUAAGUGCAAGUGGUAGGAGAGCGUUCCAAUCAGCGUCGAAGCCGUACCGGUAAGGAGCGGUGGAGCGGUUGGAAGUGAGCAUGCAGGCAUGAGUAGCGAUAAAAUACGUGAGAAUCGUAUUCGCCGUAAACCCAAGGUUUCCUACGCGAUGCUCGUCAUCGUAGGGUUAGUCGGGUCCUAAGCAAAGUCCGAAAGGGGUAUGCGAUGGAAAAUCGGUUAAUAUUCCGAUACCGAUAUCAGUGUGCGACGGAAGGACGCUUAAAGUUAGUGGAGCUAGCGGAUGGAAGUGCUAGUCUAAGGAAGUAGGUUGAGUUAUAGGCAAAUCCGUAACUCUUUAUCCGAGAUCUGAAAGGCUUCUGACGCUCUUCGGAGUAGAUGAAGAAUCCAUGAUACUAUCGAGCCGAGAAAAGUUUCUAAGUUUAGCUGAUAUCGCCCGUACCGUAAACCGACACAGGUGGGUGGGAUGAGUAUUCUAAGGCGCGUGGAAGAACUCUCUUUAAGGAACUCUGCAAAAUAGCACCGUAUCUUCGGUAUAAGGUGUGCCUAGCUUCGUUAAGAAUUUACUUCGUAAGCGAAGAAGGUUACAACAAAGAGUCCCUCCCGACUGUUUACCAUAAACACAGCACUCUGCUAACUCGUAAGAGGAUGUAUAGGGUGUGACGCCUGCCCGGUGCUCGAAGGUUAAUUGAUGAUGUUAGCUUACGCAAAGCAUCUGAUCGAAGCCCGAGUAAACGGCGGCCGUAACUAUAACGGUCCUAAGGUAGCGAAAUUCCUUGUCGGUUAAAUACCGACCUGCAUGAAUGGCGUAACGAGAUGGGAGCUGUCUCAAAGAGGGAUCCAGUGAAAUUGUAGUGGAGGUGAAAAUUCCUCCUACCCGCGGCAAGACGGAAAGACCCCGUGGACCUUUACUAUAGCUUGACACUGCUACUUGGAUAAAGAUGCGCAGGAUAGGUGGGAGGCUUUGAGUCGUAGAUCUCGGUUUACGAUGAGCCAUUGUUGAGAUACCACUCUUCUUUAUUCGGGUAGCUAACUAGCCUAAGUUAUCCUUAGGUAGGACAAUGUCUGGUGGGUAGUUUGACUGGGGCGGUCGCCUCCCAAAAUGUAACGGAGGCUUACAAAGGUUGGCUCAAAGCGGUUGGAAAUCGCUUGCAGAGUAUAAAGGCAAAAGCCAGCUUAACUGCGAGACAUACACGUCGAGCAGAGACGAAAGUCGGUCUUAGUGAUCCGGUGGUUCUGUGUGGAAGGGCCAUCGCUCAAAGGAUAAAAGGUACCCCGGGGAUAACAGGCUGAUCUCCCCCAAGAGCUCACAUCGACGGGGAGGUUUGGCACCUCGAUGUCGGCUCAUCGCAUCCUGGGGCUGGAGCAGGUCCCAAGGGUAUGGCUGUUCGCCAUUUAAAGCGGUACGCGAGCUGGGUUCAGAACGUCGUGAGACAGUUCGGUCCCUAUCUGCCGUGGGCGUAAGAAGAUUGAGGAGAGUUGACCCUAGUACGAGAGGACCGGGUUGAACCGACCACUGGUGUACCGGUUGUUCUGCCAAGAGCACCGCCGGGUAGCUAAGUCGGGAUGCGAUAAGAGCUGAAAGCAUCUAAGCUCGAAGCCGACUCCAAGAUGAAUCUUCUUUUAAGAGCUCUAGUAGACUACUAGUUUGAUAGGCCGGAUGUGUAAUGGAUGAAAGUCCUUUAGCUGACCGGUACUAAUAGCUCGUUUGCUUAUCUU